AUUGAACGCUGGCGGCAUGCCUUACACAUGCAAGUCGAGCGGCAGCGCGGGGGCAACCCUGGCGGCGAGCGGCGAACGGGUGAGUAAUACAUCGGAACGUGUCCUGUCGUGGGGGAUAACCAGUCGAAAGACUGGCUAAUACCGCAUGAGAUCGAAAGAUGAAAGCGGGGGACCGCAAGGCCUCGCGCGAUUGGAGCGGCCGAUGUCGGAUUAGCUAGUUGGCGGGGUAAAAGCCCACCAAGGCGACGAUCCGUAGCUGGUUUGAGAGAACGGCCAGCCACACUGGGACUGAGACACGGCCCAGACUCCUACGGGAGGCAGCAGUGGGGAAUUUUGGACAAUGGGGGCAACCCUGAUCCAGCCAUGCCGCGUGUGUGAAGAAGGCCUUCGGGUUGUAAAGCACUUUCGGCCGGAACGAAAUCGCGCGGAUUAAUAACCCGCGUGGAUGACGGUACCGGAAGAAGAAGCACCGGCUAACUACGUGCCAGCCGCCGCCGUAA
rnacentral:rRNA from 1 species